AUUCGCAGACCUCACUGGCACAUGAUUAAACAACUGGAAAAUGGGAUUGAUUCCCCUACAAUUGUAUAACUUAACUAACACCUUGUGUGUGGCUGGAAUAAUGAAAUUGCCUAAAAAGCCAGCAUACCGCACUCCAUAGGAUUAACUAUGGACUUGUGGAGAUAAUGGAUGACUCCACUUUCUUUAUGAGUGGAUUGGAUGAUGCAUGAGGAACUCCCCUUAUCUCUUGACAAGUUUUCUACCACUUGCCAGUGAUCCUCUGUAAUCAGGAUAUUGUUAAGACUGGACCACUCAAAGGGCUUCUUAAUGGUUUCAUCCCUUAGUCAUAUUUAUUCUAGAAGCCACCUCUGUUGAGGUGCAAUUGCAAACA